UCAAAUGAAUUGACGGGGGGCCCGCACAAGCGGUGGAGCAUGUGGUUUAAUUCGAUGCAACGCGAAGAACCUUACCUGGUCUUGACAUCCACAGAACUUAGCAGAGAUGCUUUGGUGCCUUCGGGAACUGUGAGACAGGUGCUGCAUGGCUGUCGUCAGCUCGUGUUGUGAAAUGUUGGGUUAAGUCCCGCAACGAGCGCAACCCUUAUCCUUUGUUGCCAGCGGUUCGGCCGGGAACUCAAAGGAGACUGCCAGUGAUAAACUGGAGGAAGGUGGGGAUGACGUCAAGUCAUCAUG
rnacentral:rRNA from 1 species